rnacentral:rRNA from 1 species
UACAAUGCCCACUACAAAGCGAUGCCACCCGGCAACGGGGAGCUAAUCGCAAAAAGGUGGGCCCAGUUCGGAUUGGGGUCUGCAACCCGACCCCAUGAAGCCGGAAUCGCUAGUAAUCGCGGAUCAGCCAUGCCGCGGUGAAUACGUUCCCGGGCCUU